GAUGAAUGCUGGCGGCGUGCUUAACACAUGCAAGUCGAGCGGUAAGGCCCUUCGGGUACACGAGCGGCGGACGGCUGAGUAACGCGUGGGAACAUGCCCUAAAGUGAGGAAUAACUGCCCGAAAGGGUGGCUAAUGCCGCAUCUGAUCUUCGGAUUAAAGGAUUUAUCCGCUUUGGGAGUGGGCUGAGUAGGAUUAGCUUGUUGGGGAGGUAAUGGCUUACCAAGGCGAGUAUCGUUAGCUGGUCGGAGAGGAUGACCAGCCAGACUGGAACUGAGACACGGUCCAGACUCCUACGGGAGGCGGCAGUGAGGAAUCUUCCACAAUGGGCGAAAGCCUGAUGGAGCAACGCCGCGUGCAGGAUGAAGGCCCUCGGGUCGUAAACUGCUUUUAUGAGUGAAGAAUAUGACGGUAACUCAUGAAUAAGCACCGGCUAACUACGUGCCAGCAGCCGCCGUAA
rnacentral:rRNA from 1 species